rnacentral:rRNA from 1 species
CGUUUAGGGGUAAACCUGAGAAACCCGAAAGGUCGAAGGGAGAAAUUCAUUCGCGUUUCGACGACGGAGUCUGAUGGGAUCGGUGACGAAGUUUACGUUAGAUACUUCGCGCCUCUCGUUCGACGAGCCGUCGACGAACGCGUGCACUUUUCUCCUAGUAGGACGUCGCGAUCCGUCGGGUGUCGGUCUACGAUCGACGGCGGAGACCGUCGACGAACGUUUUUACGAACGUCGUCGACGGACCCAUCGAUUCCGGCCGACUCGCUCGACGGUAUACAAAUGGUCGGAGGCCGCAAUUUUUUGCGUCCGGCUCGACGGCAAGCGCGCCAGAACGUGUCGGCGAUCGGACCCAGUGCCGAUUCCGACCGCUGACGACUGUUGGCCGACGAUGUUCUCGGACAGACCUCGGGCGUGCCGUGUUCAAGCACGGUACGUCUCUCGACGACCGAUCGGCGACGCUAUAGCUUUGGGUACUUUCAGGACCCGUCUUGAAACACGGACCAAGGAGUCUAGCAUGUACGCGAGUCAUUGGGAUUAUACUAAACCUAAAGGCGUAAUGAAAGUAAAACGGACGCGCUUCGCGCGCGACCGAGGGAAGACGGACGGUUAAUACGCCCUCAAAAGCGACCGUCCAGCAUUCCCGGGGCGUCUCGUUCUCAUCGCGAGAAGAGGCGCACCAAGAGCGUACACGCUGGGACCCGAAAGAUGGUGAACUAUGCCUGGU